GGUUCAGGACGAACGCUGGCGGCGUGCCUAAUACAUGCAAGGUCGAACGGUCUUUCUAUGGAAGCUUGCUUCCACUGAGAAGAUAGUGGCGAACGGGUGAGUAACACGUGGGGUAACCUGCCCAUAAGAGGGGGGAUAACAUCCGGAAACGGGUGCUAAUACCGCAUAGUUUUCUUGAUCGCAUGAUUGGGAAAGGAAAGACGGGCCUUUGUGCUGCCGCUUAUGGAUGGACCCGCGGCGUAUUAGUUAGUUGGUGAGGUAACGGCUCACCAAGACGAUGAUACGUAGCCGACCUGAGAGGGUGAUCGGCCACAUUGGGACUGAGACACGGCCCAAACUCCUACGGGAGGCAGCAGUAGGGAAUCUUCCGCAAUGGACGAAAGUCUGACGGAGCAACGCCGCGUGAGUGAAGUAAAAGGGUUUUCGGAUCGUAAAACUCUGUUGUCAGAGAAGAACAAGUUGGAGAGUAACUGCUCCAGCCUUGACGGUAUCUGACCAGAAAGCCACGGCUAACUACGUGCCAGCAGCGGC
rnacentral:rRNA from 1 species